rnacentral:rRNA from 1 species
AUUGAACGCUGGCGGCAUGCCUUACACAUGCAAGUCGAACGGUAACGGGCCUUCGGGUGCCGACGAGUGGCGAACGGGGGAGUAAUACAUCGGAACGUGCCCGAUCGUGGGGGAUAACGAGGCGAAAGCUUUGCUAAUACCGCAUACGAUCUACGGAUGAAAGCGGGGGACCGCAAGGCCUUGCGCGGACGGAGCGGCCGAUGGCAGAUUAGGUAGUUGGUGGGAUAAAAGCUUACCAAGCCGACGAUCUGUAGCUGGUCUGAGAGGAUGAUCAGCCACACUGGGACUGAGACACGGCCCAGACUCCUACGGGAGGCAGCAGUGGGGAAUUUUGGACAAUGGGCGCAAGCCUGAUCCAGCCAUGCCGCGUGCAGGAUGAAGGCCUUCGGGUUGUAAACUGCUUUUGUACGGAACGAAAAGCCUUCUUUUAAUACAGGAGGGUCAUGACGGUACCGUAAGAAUAAGCACCGGCUAACUACGUG